AGGCGGGUGCGCAAGUUGAAUGUUUAAACUAUCGGCUUAACCGGUAAUCGCGUUCAAAACUGCGUAUCUUGAGUGAAGUAGAGGCAGGCGGAAUUCCUAGUGUAGCGGUGAAAUGCGUAGAUAUUAGGAGGAACACCAGUGGCGAAGGCGGCCUGCUGGGCUUUUACUGACGCUGAGGCUCGAAAGCAUGGGGAGCAAACAGGAUUAGAUACCCUGGUAGUCCAUGCCGUAAACGAUGAUUACUAGGUGUGGGGGGACUGACCCCUUCCGUGCCGCAGUUAACACAAUAAGUAAUCCACCUGGGGAGUACGGCCGCAAGGUUGAAACUCAAAGGAAUUGACGGGGGCCCGCACAAGCAGUGGAGUAUGUGGUUUAAUUCGAAGCAACGCGAAGAACCUUACCAGGUCUUGACAUCGUGCGCAUUACCUAGAGAUAGGGAAGCCCUUCGGGGCGCAUAGACAGGUGGUGCAUGGUUGUCGUCAGCUCGUGUCGUGAGAUGUUGGGUUAAGUCCCGCAACGAGCGCAACCCUUACGGUUAGUUGCUACGCA
rnacentral:rRNA from 1 species